CUGGAAACCACGUCCUGCAUGGCUGUGCCUCCCUGAACCAUCCCUGCUUCCGAAAGCUGCGGGCAGCAGCGUGGCUUGGUUCUGACCUGAGCCAUGUGUGUCUUUAAAAGUUCACAAAGGGGGUUUAGGAUCUGGGCAGGAGCCCCCACGGCAGUGGGGUGGGAGCCUGGGGGGCCCUGAGGAAACGUGGGUGGGUGCGGGAAGCACAGCGGGGAGCCAGGGCCAGGGAGGAAGAGGAAAGACAGAGAAAAUCACAACCCUUAAGGAAGGAGGGAGAAACAGUCCUGCCUGUGUCAGUACGAUUUGCUAAACCCACCGAUAUUUGCCUAAAUUCAGGCUUUUGGCUGAACAAAUUGAGAAUUUAGAGCAUUUCCUUGAACUUCAGGAUGCUCCUUCUGCAUCAAUGCUGGCAUUGCAGAGACCUUAGCCAAAAUGCAGUAAAAAUGAUAAGAAAGGGCUUUCCUUCUCAGAGAGCUGCAAAGAUGACUCUGGGAGAGGCUCGACUUGAGAUAAAGCAGCAGCACGUCACUGUCCCACGCAGUGACAGUCCCCGGGGAGUGCUGGGAUGUGGCUCUGCAGAAGCAGAGGGGUUUGGCAUGCGGUGUCCCCAGGCACCCAGGAACAGAAAUCAGGAUUUGAUUUCUCCAAGCUUCCGCCUGGAAAGUGCACAAUGUCGCAGCCAUCCUGAGAUAUCAGCCGGCAGAGCUCGAGCCCGGCAGAAAACAAGUGGGGCAGGCACGAGCAUGGGGCAGCAGAGGUACUUCCAGGGUGCUGGGGUUUGCUGGCCGCCUGCAAUUCAAGCGGGGCAAUGGACCCCGUGGCGCUGGCUCUCCGUCCCACACCCCGUCAUCACACGUGCACACCCCGACACGUUCCCAACCCCGAAUCUGCCUGCGCUCUCAGCCUGCUUCGGAGAUACGGGUAACCCACAAAGCCACGGAGAGGUCCUGGUCAUUGCUCCGGCAACAAAACUGCUUUCAGGAAAGAAGGACUAAAAAUAUCGCCAGCGUGUGCAUUCAAAGUGCGAUGCCUGAGGAUUGGGUUUGGAUUGUGCUGAUUCCCAUUGCCAUUUUUGCUGAAAUCCUCAAAAUUGGGAUGAAACGAAGCGUUAGGAAACGAACUGGGCCUCGUUCCCUUCCUUCUGUUAGUUUUGAAUUAACAAAAAAUUAAAUUAAGAGCUAAUUAAAUCGACAAAAUUAGAAACAUAUUAUUUCCCAAAAUUGCUUUGCUUUUUUUUUUUUUUUAUUUUUAUUCCAGCUUUCACCAGGCGCUUGACAGCUAUGCAGCAAAUCUGUGUCCCUAAGGGAUGGGAGUCCCUGGCCACGCAGAGGAGGCACAGAGAGGUCGGGAAUAUCUCCUAAGGACACACAGGAAACCUGAGUCAACACCAGCAAGUCCCAAAUCUCCAUUCAGCCUUAGCUACACUCAGCAUCUUUUCAGGUGCUGCAAGAGCAGCCUUGAAAACCUGAAAAAAACCCUCAAUUUUGAGCAGCAUAUUCUAGUAGUAGCAUCACAUCCAGGCAGGCUAUUUCUCAAGAAUAUAUAGAUGGCACAAACAUGGAUGAAGAUUUGAGAAUACUACUCAUCAUCUUUGCUCUUGUUUCAACCGAAGGAGUGCAGUAAAGGGAGUAUGAGAUGGUUCAGGAGAUCAAAAAGGGCUGAGUAGCACACAGGCACUGUUCAGGCCUUCCAAACACUUUAAUUUGCUAUUCAGAUUACCACUUUUUAUAGUUUAAUAUGUACAAUAUGCAAAGGAACCAGUUUAACUAAAUGGGAAAGGCCUUUUGUGUUAAGGAUGAAUGUAAUCUAAUACGGUCCUUUGACUUGAUUCAAUUAAAUCCUUUCUUUUCCAAUUAAAUAAUCAGCCAGAAUUUAAUAAAAAUGAAUUUCAAUGUGUCAGCCUGCAGAAUGAUGACCUCUGAGAUGGUGGAGGCUUAUGUAAAUUCUGCUGAUCGCUUUUUAUCUGCUUGUGUCUCACUUCCACCAAAAAAAAAAAUUGCCUUCUGUUGGUAUAUUUACAUUAUUUUCUCAUCUGUGCUAUGUAUCUCUGCUUACAGUAACAACUCCCAGCUGAAAACCAG
rnacentral:lncRNA from 1 species